AUCAGAAUGUCACGGUGAAUACGUUCCCGGGCCUUGUACACACCGCCCGUCACACCAUGGGAGUGGGCUGCAAAAGAAGUGGGUAGUUUAACCUUUCGGGGAGGACGCUCACCACUUUGUGGUUCAUGACUGGGGUGAAGUCGUAACAAGGUAGCCCUAGGGGAACCUGGGGCUGGAUCACCUCCUUA
rnacentral:rRNA from 1 species